GGGAAUUUUCCGCAAUGGGCGAAAGCCUGACGGAGCAAUACCGCGUGAGGGAAGAAGGCUCUUGGGUUGUAAACCUCUUUUCUCAGGGAAUAAAAAAAUGAAGGUACCUGAGGAAUAAGCAUCGGCUAACUCCGUGCCAGCAGCCGCGGUAAUACGGAGGAUGCAAGCGUUAUCCGGAAUGAUUGGGCGUAAAGCGUCCGCAGGUGGUACAACAAGUCUAGUGUCAAAGACCGGGGCUCAACCCCGGAAAGGCGGUGGAAACUGUUGAACUAGAGGGUCGUAGGGGUAGAGGGAAUUCCCAGUGUAGCGGUGAAAUGCGUAGAGAUUGGGAAGAACAUCGGUGGCGAAGGCGCUCUACUGGGCCACAACUGACGCUGAUGGACGAAAGCUAGGGGAGCGAAAGGGAUUAGAUACC
rnacentral:rRNA from 1 species